rnacentral:rRNA from 1 species
GACGAACGCUGGCGGUGUGCUUAACACAUGCAAGUGGUGCGACGAACCAGAGCUUGCUCUGGGGCAAAGCCGCGAACGGGUGAGUAACACGUGGGUAAUCUACCCCGAUGACCGGGACAACCCGAGGAAACUCGGGCUAAUACCGGAUGUGGUGCGGAGACAUAAGUCUCUUCACUAAAGGUAGCUUCGGCUUCCGCAUUGGGAGGGGCCCGCGGCCCAUUAGCUUGUUGGUGGGGUCAAGGCCUACCAAGGCAACGAUGGGUAGCUGGUCUGAGAGGACGAUCAGCCACACUGGGACUGAGACACGGCCCAGACUCCUGCGGGAGGCAGCAGUGGGGAAUCUUGCGCAAUGCGCGAAAGCGUGACGCAGCAACACCGCGUGAGGGAAGAAGGCCUUAGGGUUGUAAACCUCUUUCAGAUGGGACGAAGGUUCUCCGGUGAAUAGCCGAGAGGAUUGACGGUACCGUCAGAAGAAGCUCCGGCUAACUACGUG